rnacentral:rRNA from 1 species
AUGUGUGAUGGGAGAGCACUUGCUGUCGGGGCUGGUUACGGCGCGGGCAAGAUAACAUUCACGGUCGUGAUGAGUUGCCUCACGGCGGCCUCCGGCGGGCUCAUACUUGGGUACGACGUCGGAAUCACAGGUGGGUUGACGCAGAUGGAGUCCUUCCUCGAGGCCUUCUUUCCGGAGAUUCUGCGGAAGAUGUCCAACGCGAAGCAGGAUACCUAUUGCAUCUUCGACAGUCAGUUGCUCAACACCUUCGUCUCCUCGUUCUACCUCGCCGGCAUGCUCGCCAGCCCGAUCGCCGGCCAUCUAACCAGGACGUUGGGCCGGAAGAAUUCCAUGCUCAUAGGCGGCUUGCUGUUUCUCGCCGGCGCCCUCCUCAACUUCACCGCAGUUAACAUUGAGAUGCUCAUCAUCGGCCGCAUUCUCCUCGGCGUCGCCGUCGGUUUCACUAGUUUGUCUGCGCCCUUAUACCUGGCAGAGAUAGCGCCGGCGCGGUGGCGCGGGGCGUUCACGAGCACCUUCCACUUCUUCCUCAACGUGGGCCUGUUCAUGGCCGAUCUUGUCGACUACGGCGCCAACACCAUUCCUAGGUGGGGCUGGCGCCUCUCUCUCGGCAUCGGCAUCGUCCCUGCUGGCUUCAUCGUCGUGGACGCGGCGCUCAUCCCGGAUACGCCCAACAGCCUGGUGCUGCGGGGGAAGGUCGACGAGGCUCGCGCUUCACUGCGGCGCAUCCGUGGACUGGACGCCGACAUCAACGCGGAGCUCCAGGAUAUCAUCCAAGCCGCGGAGGAGGACAAGAUGCACGAGUCUGGCGCACUCCGGCGCCUCGGUCGCCGCGAGUACCGGCCACACCUUGUUAUGGCCGUGGCCAUGACGGUGUUCUUUGAGCUAACGGGCGUGAUCGUGGUGUCCAUCUUCACGCCUCUCCUCUUCUACACCAUCGGGUUCACGAGCCAGAAGGCCAUCCUGGGCUCGAUCAUCACCGACGUCGUCAGCCUCGCAUCCAUAGUGGUCGCCGGGCUCGUCGUCGACCGGUUCGGCCGCCGCUCUCUCUUCUUUCUGGGCGGCGUCGUCCUAAUCCUGUCCCUGGUGGCCAUGGCGUGGAUCUUCGGCGCGCAGCUGGGGACCAACGGCGAGGUCGCGAUGCCGCGAGGUUACGCGAUGGCCGUGGUGGCGCUCGUCUGCGUAUACACGGCGGGAUUCGGCGUGUCAUGGGGCCCCCUCUCGUGGGUGAUCACCAGCGAGAUCUUCCCCCUUGAGGUGAGGUCGUCGGCUCUAGGCUUGAGCGGGGCAAUCUCGGGGUUGCUCACCUUUGCGCAGUCGCAGUCAUUCCUGGAAAUGUUGUGCCGGUUCAAAUACAUUACCUUCGGUUACUACGCCUGGUGGGUGGUCGUCAUGACGGUGUUCGUGGCGGUGUUCCUACCGGAGACGAAGGGCGUACCCAUCGAGUCCAUGGGCGCUGUAUGGGCGCAGCACUGGUACUGGAGGCGCUUCGUCAAGCCGGCACCAGCAACGCGGGCCAAUGGGCCUGUUUGA